rnacentral:tRNA from 1 species
GCCUAAACGGAAAAAUAGCCUAGUGGACAUGGCAUCUGCCCGGUAAGCGGAACACUGUGGGUUCGAUUCCCAUCCCUGGACA